UACGAAGGGAGCGAGCGUUGUUCGGAAUCACUGGGCUUAAAGCGUGCGUAGGCGGUCUGUCACGUCGGCUGUGAAAACCCGAGGCUCAACCUCGGGCCUGCAGUCGAUACGGGCAAACUAGAGUACUGCAGGGGAGACUGGAAUUCCUGGUGUAGCGGUGAAAUGCGCAGAUAUCAGGAGGAACACCGGUGGCGAAGGCGGGUCUCUGGGCAGUAACUGACGCUGAGGAGCGAAAGCGUGGGGAGCGAACAGG
rnacentral:rRNA from 1 species